rnacentral:rRNA from 1 species
AGCGAACGCUGGCGGCAGGCCUAACACAUGCAAGUCGAACGAUCCUUCGGGAGAGUGGCGGACGGGUGAGUAACACGUGGGAACGUGCCCUUUGGUUCGGAACAACUCAGGGAAACUUGAGCUAAUACCGAAUGUGCCCUUCGGGGGAAAGAUUUAUCGCCAUUGGAGCGGCCCGCGUCUGAUUAGCUGGUUGGUGAGGUAACGGCUCACCAAGGCGACGAUCAGUAGCUGGUCUGAGAGGAUGAUCAGCCACACUGGGACUGAGACACGGCCCAGACUCCUACGGGAGGCAGCAGUGGGGAAUCUUGCGCAAUGGGCGAAAGCCUGACGCAGCCAUGCCGCGUGAAUGAUGAAGGUCUUAGGAUUGUAAAAUUCUUUCACCGGGGACGAUAAUGACGGUACCCGGAGAAGAAGCUCCGGCUAACUUCGUGCCAGCAGCCGCCGUAAGAC